rnacentral:rRNA from 1 species
ACACAUGCAAGUCGAACGAUGAUGCCCAGCUUGCUGGGCGGAUUAGUGGCGAACGGGUGAGUAAUACGUGAGUAACCUGCCCUUGACUCUGGGAUAAGCCUGGGAAACUGGGUCUAAUACUGGAUACUACUUCUCAUCGCAUGGUGGGUGGUGGAAAGGGUUUUACUGGUUUUGGAUGGGCUCACGGCCUAUCAGCUUGUUGGUGGGGUAAUGGCUCACCAAGGCGACGACGGGUAGCCGGCCUGAGAGGGUGACCGGCCACACUGGGACUGAGACACGGCCCAGACUCCUACGGGAGGCAGCAGUGGGGAAUAUUGCACAAUGGGCGGAAGCCUGAUGCAGCGACGCCGCGUGAGGGAUGACGGCCUUCGGGUUGUAAACCUCUUUCAGUAGGGAAGAAGCGAGAGUGACGGUACCUGCAGAAGAAGCGCCGGCUAACUACGUGCCAGCAGCCGCGGUAAUACGUAGGGCGCAAGCGUUGUCCGGAAUUAUUGGGCGUAAAGAGCUCGUAGGCGGUUUGUCGCGUCUGCUGUGAAAGCCCGGGGCUCAACCCCGGGUCUGCAGUGGGUACGGGCAGACUAGAGUGCAGUAGGGGAGACUGGAAUUCCUGGUGUAGCGGUGAAAUGCGCAGAUAUCAGGAGGAACACCGAUGGCGAAGGCAGGUCUCUGGGCUGUUACUGACGCUGA